rnacentral:rRNA from 1 species
CCUACGGGUGGCAGCAGUGGGGAAUAUUGGACAAUGGGCGAAAGCCUGAUCCAGCCAUGCCGCGUGUGUGAAGAAGGCCUUUUGGUUGUAAAGCACUUUAAGCGAGGAGGAGGCUACUUGGAUUAAUACUCUAGGAUAGUGGACGUUACUCGCAGAAUAAGCACCGGCUAACUCUGUGCCAGCAGCCGCGGUAAUACAGAGGGUGCGAGCGUUAAUCGGAUUUACUGGGCGUAAAGCGUGCGUAGGCGGCUUCUUAAGUCGGAUGUGAAAUCCCUGAGCUUAACUUAGGAAUUGCAUUCGAUACUGGGAAGCUAGAGUAUGGGAGAGGAUGGUAGAAUUCCAGGUGUAGCGGUGAAAUGCGUAGAGAUCUGGAGGAAUACCGAUGGCGAAGGCAGCCAUCUGGCCUAAUACUGACGCUGAGGUACGAAAGCAUGGGGAGCAAACAGGAUUAGAUACCCCAGUAGUC